rnacentral:ncRNA from 1 species
AUGGCAGGAGCAGGCGUGCGCGCCGGCAAUCUGCAUAAGUUUCUCGACGCAGGGGUGAAGGAGCUGCAUAGCUCAGCGGGUAAAUGGAUACCCUCGCCCAUGCGUUAUCGCAAUACAGGGUUGUCUAUGUCGACGGAUGCCGAGGCGGAUGAGUACUCCCGCUAUAGCGUUGAUGGAGAGUCGGUUGCGGUAAUGAAAGCGAUUAUUGACCGUUAUCACGUGUAGCAACGUUUUUACCGCCGCAUCAUGUCGCCCAAUAUGAUGCUUGUUUGUACCAGGCCCCUGCCUUUUACACAGGGGCCUUUUUU